CAGGAGCGGGGACCAGCGGGAGUAGGAGUACGGUGGGGGCUAGGGAGGUGAGGAAGUAGUGGGCGGAGAGCGCGCGGAGGUGGUCCAGAAAGUGGGGGGGGAAAGCCCGGGGCUCAACCUCGGAACUGCCUUCAGAGCUAUUGGUCUGGAGUGCGAGAGAGGUGAGUGGAAUUCCGAGUGUAGAGGUGAAAUUCGUAGAUAUUCGGAGGAGCACCAGUGGCGAAGGCGGCUCACUGGCUCGAUACUGACGCUGAGGUGCGAAAGCGUGGGGAGCAAACAGGAUUAGAUACCCCAGGAGUC
rnacentral:rRNA from 1 species